CGCGUAGGUGGUUUGUUAAGUUGGACGUGAAAGCCCCGGGCUCAACCUGGGAACUGCAUCCAAAACUGGCAAGCUAGAGUACGGUAGAGGGUGGUGGAAUUUCCUGUGUAGCGGUGAAAUGCGUAGAUAUAGGAAGGAACACCAGUGGCGAAGGCGACCACCUGGACUGAUACUGACACUGAGGUGCGAAAGCGUGGGGAGCAAACA
rnacentral:rRNA from 1 species